GCUGCUCCUGAAGUGAGAACUCCGAAACAAACCUUCGAUCCCCUGUGUUCUCCAUUGAACUCGUGAAUCACUGCGAGCCUUUGGUGAAGAGCGGUUGCAAACCAGGAGAAACACAAGGUAUGAGAUCCCGCCUGUGGAGCCAAGAUGUAAAGGGCAAGAUAUAGAUCGGCGGCGGAGAGACGCGAUUGCAACGGCAGAUUGAAGCGGCGGCGGCGCGUUGAUGGAUGCAGAUCGCGUCGGCCUUCCCUGCAGCCUGCGGUGACCUCACGAUAGGAUCUAGCGAGCAAGCACGAGGGCCUCGCGGUGGUGGAGGUGAUCUCCGUCUAGAGCGCGGCGGCCAUCGUGAUGUGGAGUGGGACACGCGCCGCAGCGACGCCUCGGCCUUGGCCCACACCUCGAGCACGGCCUCCACGCGCACUCGUCGCUUGAGCCCCCUCCCAACUGCCUCGACCGUUGCCGCGGCGGUGGAGGUGCCUGGACGCGAGGAAGUAGGCGCCGUGCUCCUUGGUGUCGCAGCGCAGGCAGAGGAACGCCGAGUCUGCGGCGCAGUGCACGGUGGCGGCGCCCCCACAGAGCUCGCACCUGGUACCGCACUUGUCGACGGUGGUGGCGGCUUCAACGAUGCAUGCGCAGAUCAACGCAAGUCAGGCAGGUGAGCUGUCUCAGAUGCUUAGAAGCUCACCAAGUCAUCGUCGUAGGCUCCGCCACCAAUAUAAAUGCCCUUUGCAUCAAGGUUUAUAUUAACAAAGAUAUGACAGACGUGAGAGAUAGAUGGAAGUAGCACGUAUAUGAUGGUCGGAAGCGAUUAUUAAAUAUAUGUAUAUAUAUACACACACAUAACAUCUUUCUAUUUGAUAGGUACAGUUUGAAAAGAAGGAUUCAGCAGACAAUCUUGUUUUCUGGCCUUACUUCCCAUCCAUAUUUCUGAUUAACAGGUAAAUUUCUGAAGAUGAUUGUAAAAUCUAUUUAUUUUCCAACAUUAGCAGUUAUUUGUGAUAUAAUAUUUAUGAGAUCAAGCUUAGUCUAUUUUUGUCCGAUGCUGUUGAAAUGCUUUAUCGGCUGGUGUUGUCGUUAUCAAAAGAAGCCAUCAUAGCCGGUGUUCCUUAGAAUGAUCAAAUGAUUCUUCAUUGGCAAAAUUGCUAUGGCCAUUCAUCUUCGGUGUGCAAUACUGAGACUUACAUGGCAAACCCUCAUCUAAGUUCUUAGUGGAAUAACUGUUUUCAACGAUAUUUGCAAGUUUGAUAGAUAUUUGCAAGUUUGAUAGUUGAUCCUGUCUUACUACUUAUGCCGUACACCUCUUGUACCAACUAUCUCGGCACGGUAUUUUCUGCACAUAACCAUGUAGAAUACCAUUUACUGGGAAGGUUAGUAAGAAAACUUUACCAGCAAAUUAUGUACUCAUUCAUUUCCUUUCAAAAUCAAUCAGAGAUUUGAAAACUGACAAACCUGCAAGGUCAGAGUUUGCCAGGUCCAUCUGGAGAAUGUCUAUUAUCUUUUUCCACAUGGUUUUAAUGCUGAUCUCCCUCCUUUCA